rnacentral:rRNA from 2 species
UGUUGUUAAAGAAGAACAUAUCUGAGAGUAACUGUUCAGGUAUUGACGGUAUUUAACCAGAAAGCCACGGCUAACUACGUGCCAGCAGCCGCGGUAAUACGUAGGUGGCAAGCGUUGUCCGGAUUUAUUGGGCGUAAAGCGAGCGCAGGCGGUUUUUUAAGUCUGAUGUGAAAGCCUUCGGCUCAACCGAAGAAGUGCAUCGGAAACUGGGAAACUUGAGUGCAGAAGAGGACAGUGGAACUCCAUGUGUAGCGGUGAAAUGCGUAGAUAUAUGGAAGAACACCAGUGGCGAAGGCGGCUGUCUGGUCUGUAACUGACGCUGAGGCUCGAAAGUAUGGGUAGCAAACAGGAUUAGAUACCCUGGUAGUCCAUACCGUAAACGAUGAAUGCUAAGUGUUGGAGGGUUUCCGCCCUUCAGUGCUGCAGCUAACGCAUUAAGCAUUCCGCCUGGGGAGUACGGCCGCAAGGCUGAAACUCAAAGGAAUUGACGGGGGCCCGCACAAGCGGUGGAGCAUGUGGUUUAAUUCGAAGCUACGCGAAGAACCUUACCAGGUCUUGACAUACUAUGCAAAUCUAAGAGAUUAGACGUUCCCUUCGGGGACAUGGAUACAGGUGGUGCAUGGUUGUCGUCAGCUCGUGUCGUGAGAUGUUGGGUUAAGUCCCGCAACGAGCGCAACCCUUAUUAUCAGUUGCCAGCAUUAAGUUGGGCACUCUGGUGAGACUGCCGGUGACAAACCGGAGGAAGGUGGGGAUGACGUCAAAUCAUCAUGCCCCUUAUGACCUGGGCUACACACGUGCUACAAUGGAUGGUACAACGAGUUGCGAACUCGCGAGAGUAAGCUAAUCUCUUAAAGCCAUUCUCAGUUCGGAUUGUAGGCUGCAACUCGCCUACAUGAAGUCGGAAUCGCUAGUAAUCGCGGAUCAGCAUGCCGCGGUGAAUACGUUCCCGGGCCUUGUACACACCGCCCGUCACACCAUGAGAGUUUGUAACACCCAAAGUCGGUGGGGUAACCUUUUAGGAACCAGCCGCCUAAG